UCUUUUUCCCGGGAUGCCAGGCUUCUGGGUUCCCUUUCCCUGAGUGGCCCUAGUGAUGUGGCUUGUGGCACCAUCGCCCUGGGGGCCAAGCAGCAUCAUAAAGGUAAAUUUUUUUUUUGUUCUGGCUAGAGCAAAAUAUGUGUGAUAAAACAUAGACAUUAGCCAUUCUGCUUAGCACCCAAUAUCAAACUGGCAAGGCUUAAAUUUGCCCCUAGAUGGACCCUGUCAUCUUUUUUUCUCUUCUUUCUUUCCUUUUUUUUUUUUUUGACAGAGUCUUGCUCUGUCACCCAGGCUGGAGUGCAGUGGCAUGAUCUCAGCUCACUGCAACCUCCGCCUCCCAGGAUCAAGUGAUUCUCCUGCCUCAGCCUCUUGAGUAGCUGGGAUUACAGUCACGUGCCACCACGCCUAGCUAAUUUUUGUAUUUUUAGUAGAGACAGGGCUUUACCAUGUUGACCAGGCUGAUCUCGAAUGCCUGACAUCGUGAUCCACUCGCCUUGGCCUCCCAAAGUGCUGGGAUUACAGGUGUGAGCCACCGCGGCCGGCAACCCUGUCAUCCUUAAUCCAGCCUCCGACUUGGAGUUUCAACACAUGGACUCUGGGCAAUAUGGUUGCCCUGAGUAGCAGAAAAGAUUAAAAAGAAAAAAAAAAGGGAAAGGAGAGAGAAAAAAGCAUUGCCUGUGGCAGGGUGGGGAAGGCAAAAUGCUCAGAGAGGCCAGAGAAAGACCCACCCAUUGCAGCAACACUGAAAAGUUCAGGUGUCUGCGGCUGCUGUCAUGAAGGUAUCUUUUCCGGCAGUCGCAUCAGCUCUCAAGUUUCCCCUUAUAGGGAGGAAAAAGCUCCCCAUGACCCACGAUCCUGUACAUACCUAAUCCUGUCACCCACAGCCAUCAGCAAAGAAUGCAAGGCAGAUUAAUACAAAGAGCGUAGCCUGCAGUGCCAAACCCCUUUUAGUUGAGAGGUAGACUUUACUGAGAGGGGUCUCUAACCCCCUAAAUCUUAGAAGGGACUCUAACCCGCUGUUAGUCAAGCAUCCUUGCCUUUUAUUAAGAGGGGCCUCUAAACUACUCUGUCUUAGGGGAGACUCUAAC
rnacentral:lncRNA from 1 species